GAGUGUAUAGCUCAAUUGACAGAGCUCAUGCUUAGCAUCCAUGAGGUUGUGGGUUCAAUCCCCAGUACCCCCA
rnacentral:tRNA from 1 species